ACGUGUCACACACCCACACACCAGGAUUACUGAGAAUGAGAGCAACAAGACUUCUUUCUCUCGAUAAAGCAAACUGACAGGUCUAAGAUGCUGCUGAAUGUUGCACUUGUUUAUGUGCUGGUGAACCGGUGAUGCUGAAUUACCCAUAGGCCAAGUCAGUGGUUGGCAGUGCUGGUCCCAAACCCAGGGUCGCGGGGAACUGGAGCCUACCCGGCAACACAG